rnacentral:lncRNA from 1 species
GCGACUCGUGAGCCGCAACUCUUCGAGAUGCUUCUCUCUUCAGGGCCUCGGGCCUCCUCCUCCAUAGCAGCAGCCUCCAACCAGAUGAUGGCGACCUUUCGAGCUGCGGCAGCCAUCGCCUCCUCCUCCUGCAUUGGCAACACCAGGCUCACGGGUGGAUGUGAAACACAAUGGUAGCCACGUUACCGAGAUUUGCCUCCGAGCCACUUAUCUCAUGGGCUAGAUCUCCACUAAAACCCU